rnacentral:rRNA from 1 species
GAUGAACGCUGGCGGCGUGCCUAAUACAUGCAAGUUGUGCGGUAACAGAGAGAGCUUGCUCUCUGCUGACGAGCGGCGGACGGCAGAGUAACGCGUAGGAACAUACCCCAAACUGAGGGAUAACUGCUCGAAAGAGUAGCUAAUACCGCAUGUGGUCUUCGGAUUAAAGCUUCGGCGGUUUGGGAGUGGCCUGCGUCCGAUUAGCUAGUUGGUGAGGUAAUUGCUCACCAAGGCGACGAUCGGUAGCUGGUCUGAGAGGAUGAUCAGCCUGACUGGAACUGAGAACGGUCCAGACUCCUACGGGAGGCAGCAGUAGGGAAUUUUCCACAAUGGGCGAAAGCCUGAUGGAGCAACGCCGCGUGCAGGAUGAAUGCCUUCGGGUUGUAAACUGCUUUUCUGUGUGAAGAAUAUGACGGUAACACAGGAAUAAGGGUCGGCUAACUACGUGCCAGCAGCCGCGGUAAU